rnacentral:rRNA from 1 species
CGCCCUCUCCGGUCCCCAAACCAUCUUCCAGUAAGAAGUAACGUUUAGUUUUUAUACUACUUAGCUGGGACCUUACUAACAGAAGCAGCACCCGCUUAACUCCGCGCCAGCAGACCCGGUAAUACGAAGGGGCAACCUUAAUUUGGAAUUUAUGGGAGUAAGCCUUACACUGGCGGUUUUUAAGCGAGAUGUAAAAGCCCCCGGCUCAAACCUGGGAAUUGCAUUUCGAACUGGCAAACUUGAGUGUGAUAGAGGGUGGGUAGAAUUUCAGGGGUAGCGGUGAAAUGCGUAGAGAUCUGAAGGAAUACCGAUGGCGAAGGCAGCCACGUGGGUCAACACUGACGCUCAUGUACGAAAGCGUGGGGAGCAAACAGGAUUAGAUACCUGGUAGUCCACGCCGUAAACGAUGUCUACUAGAAGCUCGGGUCUUCGGACUUGUUUUUCAAAGCUAACGCAUUAAGUAGACCGCCUGGGGAGUACGGCCGCAAGGUUAAAACUCAAAUGAAUUGACGGGGGCCCGCACAAGCGGUGGAGCAUGUGGUUUAAUUCGAUGCAACGCGAAGAACCUUACCUACACUUGACAUACAGAGAACUUACCAGAGAUGGUUUGGUGCCUUCGGGAACUCUGAUACAGGUGCUGCAUGGCUGUCGUCAGCUCGUGUUGUGAGAUGUUGGGUUAAGUCCCGCAACGAGCGCAACCCCUAUCUUUAGUUGCCAGCGAUUCGGUCGGGAACUCUAAGGAGACUGCCGGUGAUAAACCGGAGGAAGGUGGGGAUGACUCAUCAUGGCCCUUACGUGUAGGGCUCCACACGUGCUACAAUGGCGCAUACAGAGUGGUGCGAACCUGCGAGGGUAAGCGAAUCACUUAAACUGCGUCGUAGUCCGGAUUGGAGUCUGCAACUCGACUCCAUGAAGUCGGAAUCGCUAGUAAUCGCGUAUCAGAAUGACGCGGUGAAUACGUUCCCGGGCCUGGUACACACCGCCCGUCACACCAUGGGAGUGGGUUGCUCCGGGGGGGGGUGGGGUGA